CUACGGGGGGCUCCAGUGAGGAAUAUUGCACAAUGGGGGGAACCCAGAUGCAGCAACGCCGCGUGGAGGAUGACGCAUUUCGGUGUGUAAACUCCUUUUAUAUGUCAAGAAAAUGACGGUAGCAUAUGAAUAAGCACCGGCUAACUCCGUGCCAGCAGCCGCGGUAAUACGGAGGGUGGCAAGCGUUACUCGGAAUCACUGGGCGUAAAGGACGCGUAGGCGGGUUGGAAAGUCAGGUGUGAAAUCCUACAGCUUAACUGUAGAACUGCACUUGAAACUUCUAAUCUAGAGUAUGGGAAGGGGAGAUGGAAUUAGUGGUGUAGGGGUAAACUCCGUAGAUAUCACUAGGAAUACCUAAAGCGAAGGCGAUCUCCUGGAACAUUACUGACGCUAAGGCGUGAAAGCGUGGGGAGCAAACAGGAUUAGAUACCCCAGUAGUC
rnacentral:rRNA from 1 species